UGGCUGAAGCCUCAUUUGUUGUUUCUUUGAUAAAUUUGGAUGAAAAUAUUUUUUUUAAGGUCGUUCAGCGUUACCUUUUUUUUUUUUUUUUUUUUUUUUGGUGAAUAGGUUGCUGGGCUGAAAUAGAUUUCUUUGUAAAAUGUCAAGUUAAGCAGUUCCACCCCUCCACCCUGCUGCACAUGCAGGUGCCUCAGUGCCACCAGGGUCCUUCUGCAGCUGCAGGUAUAUAAGAACAAAUGGGAGAGACAAGCAUGAACAGAAGCAGAACAAAUGGAAAAGCUUGGCCAGAACAGCUCCAGAGAGCGCUGGAGUGUGACCUGCUGGGACCUCGUAGCUGAUGGCAUGUGUGGGCUGGCGUUGGGGUGAGAGUGAUGGAGCCCCAGCUGCCCACCUGGACACCUCCCCAGGGCGUGGAGCACCCAAGAUCUCCAAAAAUCCCACUGAUGUCUGUGCACCUGGACCCACACCUGCAGCCAGACUGGCUCACUGUGAGUAUAAGAGCCACGGACAGGACUGAGCUGGGGUGGACAUGUGGGGAAGGAAAAUGAAACAAACAAACAAAUAAAAUAAUAAUAAUUUAAAAAAAAGCAAGUGAGACUAUUCAAAAGGGGGACUUUAUUUUUAUUACACUGGAGCCAGGCGUCAGUGCGCCAGUUCAGCUUUGAUACACAAUAAAUCAGCAAACCUGUCACUCAGUUUGGAAACCAAGAUUGCAGUGGCACUAAAAACACAUUGAAAACAUUUACUCUCUUCCCUUUUUUUUUUUUUUUUUUCCCU
rnacentral:lncRNA from 1 species